AUUGAACGCUGGCGGCAGGCCUAGCACAUGCAAGUCGAGCGGAUGAAGGGAGCUUGCUCCUGGAUUCAGCGGCGGACGGGUGAGUAAUGCCUAGGAAUCUGCCUGUUAGUGGGGGAUAACGUCCGGAAACGGGCGCUAAUACCGCAUACGUCCUGAGGGAGAAAGUGGGGGAUCUUCGGACCUCACGCUAUCAGAUGAGCCUAGGUCGGAUUAGCUAGUUGGUGGGGUAAAGGCCUACCAAGGCGACGAUCCGUAACUGGUCUGAGAGGAUGAUCAGUCACACUGGAACUGAGACACGGUCCAGACUCCUACGGGAGGCAGCAGUGGGGAAUAUUGGACAAUGGGCGAAAGCCUGAUCCAGCCAUGCCGCGUGUGUGAAGAAGGUCUUCGGAUUGUAAAGCACUUUAAGUUGGGAGGAAGGGCAGUAAGUUAAUACCUUGCUGUUUUGACGUUACCAACAGAAUAAGCACCGGCUAACUUCGUG
rnacentral:rRNA from 1 species